rfam:Vibrio metschnikovii CIP 69.14 VIB.Contig146, whole genome shotgun sequence.
GGAGGAACCUCUGGAGAGAACCGUUCAAUCGGUCGCCGAAGGAGCAAGCUGUGCUGAUCACAUCAGCAGAGUGAAACUCUCAGGCAAAAGGACAGAGGAGUGAAA